GAGAUAUAGCGUCAUCCAAAUAAAGGAUUCAUGUUUCUAGACGUCUCUUAACUUCUUCUUAAUUCAUAAUCUUUUCUUAUAUUUAUAAUUUAUAAAAACAGUGAAAGAAAAUGAGAUUCAUUGGCCAACAAAUGUAAAAAAGGUUGGCUAUCAAUGAAUCUCUUAUUUUCUUUUCUUUUAUGGGAUGGGUCUACCGGAUUCUUAAUUCCUCAGAAUUCUAAAUAUAAAAAGUAAUUCAUCUUCUUGUAAUAAUUUCUAUAAUAUAAAAAAGGAUUCCUUCUUU
rnacentral:ribozyme from 11 species